GGGGUUGUGCCUCACUGGCAAAGCAUCUGCUUAGCAUGCAGAGUCCUAGGUUCAAUUCACAGUAUCUCCA
rnacentral:tRNA from 1 species